ACCGACCUUAGGGACGGGUCAACGGUCGUAGGAAGGUUGGACUGAUUGGGGUG
rnacentral:rRNA from 1 species